GACAGAGGGUGCAAGCGUUGUUCGGAAUCACUGGGCGUAAAGGGUGCGUAGGUUGUUUGGUUUGUCUGUUGUGAAAUCCCAUGGCUCAACCAUGGAACUGCAAUGGAAACUACCAAACUAGAGCACAAGAGGGGAUGGCGGAAUUCCCGGUGUAGAAGUGAAAUUCGUAGAUACCGGGAGGAACACCUGUGGCGAAAGCGGCCAUCUGGAUUGUAACUGACACUGAGGCACGAAAGCAUGGGGAGCAAACAGG
rnacentral:rRNA from 1 species